rnacentral:lncRNA from 1 species
AUGGUCAGAAACACAAAAAUUCCCAAAACCAAGCCACGUAUCAUUAUUAAGCAUGACACAAAACAUUUUUCGGUACAAGGGUUUUUAUAUGACCUGUUUUAUUUUGAUUGCGAUAAAAUGUAUCUUAUUGCAGAUGUUGAAAAUGCUUGGAAAUUUUUUUAUGAGAGUUUUAAAGAAAUUGUUGACAAGCAUGCUCCCCACAGAAAAUAUAGAGUAAACAGCCGAAACAAUGCAUGGUUCACUGUAGAUUUUGCCAACUCUCUUCAUGAGCGUGAUAAGGCCUGGGCAAAAGCCAGGAAAACAAGCCUGGAUUCUGAUUGGCUGCUCUUCAGGAGACUGCGCAAUUUGUGCACUGUGGCUAUCAGGAAGGCCAAAGCUGACCAAUUUCUUAUAGAAACUUCAAAUAAUUUAAAUAACCCCUUAAAAUUCUGGAAGACGAUUAAAUCCUUGGCUGGAAACAAAACUGGCAUUGAGCUGCCACCAUGUAUUCUUAAUGACUCACAUAAAUUAUCCGAUAAGGCUAAGAUGCUUGGCUGUUUUAAUGGGCAUUUUAUUGCCUCUGGUUCAUUAUUUGAUUCCCUCAACACUUCACAUCAGAAUCAUCCUAAAGGUAAUUCUCAUGGUCAUUCUGGAAUCAGUAAUUCUUUUAGUUUCAAGCCAUUUUCAGUUUCAGAAGUGCAUGAAGCCCUCACACUUUUAGACAUUAGAAAAUCGUCUGGUCCUGAUAACUUGGAGCCUUAUUUUCUACAGUUAGCAUCUGAUUUUAUUGCACCGCCUUUGACUUAUCUUUUUAAUCUUUCUCUGGACACGAAUGAAAUUCCACUUAUAUGGAAAUCCGCAUUUGUUUUUCCUCUGUUAAAAGGAGGCGACCUGACUGAUUUAAAUAACUAUAGACCCAUCUCGAAACUGUCUGUCCUGGCCAAGGUUAUGGAAACUCUGGUGAAUGAACAAUUGAAAGAGUUUCUAACUAUCAACAAUAUUCUGUCUAAUUUUCAAUCAGGUUUUCGUAAAAAACACAGCACAACUACAGCAGCCCUAAGAGUAGUAAAUGAUUUUAUUGACUCUUUAGAUAAAAAGCAACAUUAUGCAGCUCUCUUCAUUGACCUAUCGAAGGCUUUUGAUACUGUGGAUCAUGCAAUAUUUAAACAAAGAUUUCUCAGUGUCAGGUUGUCAGAACAAACAGUUUGCUGGUUUGACAACUAUCUAUCAGGUAGAUCCUUUUUGCAGCCACUUUCUUGA